rnacentral:rRNA from 1 species
CCUACGGGAGGCAGCAGUGAGGAAUAUUGGUCAAUGGCCGGAAGGCUGAACCAGCCAAGCCGCGUGAAGGACGAAGGUGCCAAGCAUUGUAAACUUCUUUUGUCAAGGGACAAACUCCGGCUCGAGCGCCUGACCGAGUGUACUUGAAGAAACAGCAUCGGCUAACUCCGUGCCAGCAGCCGCGGUAAUACGGAGGAUGCGAGCGUUAUCCGGAUUUAUUGGGUUUAAAGGGUGCGUAGGCGGACUUUUAAGUCAGCGGUAAAAGCCCGGCGCUCAACCCCGGCGAGCCGUUGAAACUGGCGGUCUGGAGAGGGCGAGAGGUAUGCGGAAUGCGCAGGGUAGCGGGGAAAUGCUUAGAUAUUGCGCAGAACUCCGAUUGCGAAGGCAGCAUACCGGCGGCGAUCUGACGCUGAGGCACGAAAGCGUGGGUAUCGAACAGGAUUAGAUACCCUGGUAGUC